CAAUUUGCCUACAUUAUUUCUCUCCGUUCCAACUGUAAUAUUGGGGGCAUGGUGUGGGUGUGAUACAUUUUAGAAAAGUUUUAAAAAAGCAAUCAAAAACUUCGACAAGCGCCCAGAGAAUAAUUAUGUUCCGGCUAAUGAUGUUUGUGCUGCUCGCACUUUUUGUGCUGUUCAAACAAGAUCGGCACAGUAUUCAACAUUGUAUUGAAAAACGUCAAUGCGAGCAAAGGAGCACCGAUUUUGUACAAGAUUGUUAUCAGUAUUGCUAUUCGAAUUUACGCUAAUGAAAACCACAUCGUGCAGGUUCAAGAGGGUUAUUCAUCGGUGGCUGAAGAUUUCACAGCAUGCAUAAAUGGGAAGAAAUGCUACCUAAAAGUGGAGCGAGCGGAUGUGAAGGCGUGUUUCGAUGAAUGCCUCGCAUUGUAUCCGUGAUUUUACGUAUAUUAAAAGAGAGUGAUAAUAUUAAGUUGUAUUUAAUGAUAAUACCAGAUUUUGCCGUGUAGCUUAUUGAUCUUCACGCAGAACGUGUUAAAAUGCGGCAAAGGGUUCCUA